CUUCAUACAAUAGGUGGUAUUGUUGACUCUCGUCAUACAGAUCACUGUGAAAAUUCUUCCAUUUAUGCUCAGCUUCUCUACGCAGUAUAGUGUAAGUGGAAUUUAUUGCGACACGUAUUGGUAUCUUCUUUCCUCGUCGUCCUUUGAGUUUCUGCUCCUUUUCGCACCAUUCCAUGAGGCCCACAUAAAUCGCAACAUUUUCUAUCUUCUUUUUCUUAUUGUCGCCUGACUUUGACACUUUGUUUUUCCAUUCCUUACCUUUGCUUUUUCUAUAAUUGGCAAAAGAGCUCACUGGCACACUUGUAGAUGGACGUUCCUCACAAGUUACCUUUUUCACUUGUUUAUUGGUUGAACAGCCUUAAAAAAUAAAACAGUCAUCACACCUAACAACAAGUCUGAGUUAAACACUUUAACCAUAUCUCCAGGGUUGAAAUUUCUGCCUGCAUCAGCGCUACCCAA